UUGAGCUAUAUAUAGUGAGGUUACAUACACGUUGUCGGCUCGCAACUGCCAUUAUCAAUGUACAUCAAGUCUUCGUAGUAGGAAAAAGAAGAGAACUACGGAAGGAAAAGCAGCCAGGCUCCAGAGGUAAUGAUCCGAACUCACAUCAAACUCGCAGCUCUUCUAUUGUUCUAUAACAUGUCAGUUACCCUGCUCUAACCUUACGAAUGAUCUCACCAACUAUCUUUCCUCAACUAAAUGGAUUACCACAACCAAGGUCUGUCCCCGCUUGAAGAUUACAAUGUCUAUGAUAACUUUGCGUUCACCCCAGAGGACGAUGACCCUGCGUCUAGCAUGGAUUUACAUCUUGGAGCAGAUGGCCCCGUGCUCGCUCGAUUUGGAUUUCCAUCACUGGGAGAAGAAGACAUCUCGCCGAACCAUAUUAACAGGACUGCUGACGUGGCAGAGAUCGAAAGGCACACUGUUAAUGCGCUCAAGCAUUUCUUGGGUGGAGCAAUACCUGUUGGCCUGACCCCGGCGCCAGCAAUUCGGAUUAGGACCGAUGGAUGGACAGAUACUGAUCCCACCUUUGAACCACCACCCACACCAGAUUUUAAUAAUACAGAGGAGGAUUACACCCCUGGAUCAGCACUGCAUAAAUUGGGUGCAACGGUUGGAGAGCCAUAUUCUGAGGCAGUAUUGGUUGUUCUGAAGUGCCUACACGAGAGGUCCAAUGGGAUGGAAGGAGUGCACAUAGAAGAGCCGACGAACAAUCUCCACGUCGUCCCUGCCUUUCUGAGGCCUUAUCUAUAAGAUCUGAUGUUUGCUGGUGAAAUAUCAGACGUUUUUGUAGGCGACAUCCUAUUCCCAAACAAGGCUCUUCGAGGGGGAGCAUGCAAUUGGAUGUUCAGUACCAGUACAAUCAUUUGCUGCAUUUAUCUCACGUGUAAUAAUUGGAACUCCUGGAAUGCUUCGAACUUAUAUGCAUGACUAUUUUCACGUUAGCUUAUUUUUUCCUGCAUGCAAAAAAAGUGGAUGAUGGAUUUAAAAAAUGUGUUAAGUAGACACACAUGGUUAGAUAGACCACGGCGUAAGUUCUAAGUUCCCAUAUUAUAAAAAAAAAAUCGGAUAGUAUCAAGGCAGCUCAUCAGAAGCGUUAUCUUUUCAGAUGACAGACACAUACGAUGACGUGAAGUUUUUUUUCGGCGUCAACUUCGGUGGACACUGGCUUGUCCGAGCUCCACGCUGCCCGCCUUGAUUAACGCGUUCUGUGGACACGUGAAGUACAUAAUGAUGCAUGCAUUAACAUUUAUCGAAGUCUAGCCAGUUUGUAUGUAGGGUUUAGGAAAAUUAGCACCACAUCUAGCCAAUUGAGUGGAGGCUAGCUGCCCUUGUCACCAGCGUUUGGUAGCUGCAGAUACCAUGCAUGUGCAUUCAUUGGGGUGCGGUGAGGAAGAACAAAUCAACGCAGUGCUAGUUUCAAACAACGUCUAGACGGGCCACACGUGUACGGCCUUAUAAAAAUAUGCACGCGAAAUGUCGCACCCGUUCGGGAGAUGGUAACCAGCCUGCCAAAUAUGUGCAGAAGUAGGUUUUGGAUGGUUUUUAUUGAUGUAACAAUAGUUAAUAAAUUUUUGGACGUUUGCGAUUAGCACUUGAGCUAUAUAUAGUGAGGUUACAUACACGUUGUCGGCUCGCAAGUGCCAUUAUCAAUGUACAUCAAGUCUUCGUAGUAGGAAAAAGAAGAGAACUACGGAAGGAAAAGCAGCCAGGCUCCAGAGGUCUGUCCCCGCUUGAAGAUUACAAUGUCUAUGAUAACUUUGCGUUCACCCCAGAGGACGAUGACCCUGCGUCUAGCAUGGAUUUACAGCUUGGAGCAGAUGGCCCCGUGCUCGCUCGAUUUGGAUUUCCAUCACUGGGAGAAGAAGACAUCUCGCCGAACCAUAUUAACAGGUAAGUACAGGGAUAGAGUCAUAAGCCUUCGAUUUUAAUCAUUCUGUCCGGCGUCAUAAGCAUCAUAGAUGGUUAUCUGUCCAUAUCAGCCAAUAGCUGCAGGUAACUAAAAAUGGUAACAUCGUUCGAUGGAAAACACAUUUUGUAAACAAUUUUAUUUUUUCAUUAGCCCUUUUACAUCGUAUUUUACUUUUGCCACCGAGGACUACUGACGUGGCAGAGAUCGAAAGGCACACUGUUAAUGCGCUCAAGCAUUUCUUGGGUGGAGCAAUACCUGCUGUAAGGUCAAAAUGCUUGUCGUAGUGUUUUUUGUUACGAUUUUUGCGAAUAUUUUUUGCAAUCGCACACGCGUCUACGCAUGGCCUGACCCCGGCGCCAGGAAUUCGGAUUAGGACCGAUGGAUGG